GAUGAAGAACGUAGCGAAAUGCGAUAAGUAAUGCGAAUUGCAGAACUCCAGUGAGUCAUCGAAUCUUUGAACGCACAUUGCGCCCUUUGGUAUUCCGAAGGGCAUGCCUGUUCGAGCGUCAUUAUCACCCCUCAAGCCCUCGGCUUGGUGUUGGACGGUUUGGUGGAGGCCCCCUCGGGGGCUCCUGCCCCUCCCAAAGACAAUGACGGCGGCCUCGUUGGACCCCCGGUACACUGAGUUCUUCACGGGACACGUAUCGGACACAUGGGUUUACGGGACACGGUCUGCCUCCCCUCAGGGAGAAUCUUUCUAAGGUUGACCUCGGAUCAGGUAGGGAUACCCGCUGAACUUAAGCAUAUCAAUAAGCGGAGGA
rnacentral:misc_RNA from 1 species